GGCAGCAGCCGCGGUAACACCGGCGGCCCGAGUGGUGAUCGUGAUUAUUGGGUCUAAAGGGUCCGUAGCCGGUUUGGUCAGUCCUCCGGGAAAUCUGAUAGCUCAACUAUUAGGCUUUCGGGGGAUACUGCCAGACUUGGAACCGGGAGAGGUAAGAGGUACUACAGGGGUAGGAGUGAAAUCUUGUAAUCCCUGUGGGACCACCUGUGGCGAAGGCGUCUUACCAGAACGGGUUCGACGGUGAGGGACGAAAGCUGGGGGCACGAACCGGAUUAGAUACCCGGGUAGUCCCAGCCGUAAACGAUGCUCGCUAGGUGUCAGGCAUGGCGCGACCGUGUCUGGUGCCGCAGGGAAGCCGUGAAGCGAGCCACCUGGGAAGUACGGCCGCAAGGCUGAAACCUAAAGGAAUUGGCGGGGGAGCACAACAACGGGUGGAAGCCUGCGGUUUAAUUGGACUCAACGCCGGACAACUCACCGGGGGCGACAGCAAUAUGUAGGCCAAGCUGAAGACUUUGCCUGAAUCGCUGAGGGGAGGUGCAUGG
rnacentral:rRNA from 1 species